AUAGCGCAAGUGAACUGAACUUCAGCGCUGCUGUACUGUACUAUCCUCAAUGUGGUACUUUAUUGAGAAAUUAAUUUCUUUGAUCAAAACGUGUGUUUUAAUAGGAGAUCGCCGAGGGGAAAUUAAUGGGUUUAUUUUAAAGUUGAGUGAUCCUUCUGGUUUCCAUGCUUCCCUAUGGCAUCAGAUCAGAAUGGGUGAUUUCUGAAAGCAGGUAAGCCACUGACUAACGCACAUUGCGCCUAUUCUCCAUUCCACUGUGCGUGUGACAGCGGCUAACCAGCUUUUGGAUGUGUGUCUGACUUCAGCAGCCAUGGGAAUGCAUCACCGGAUCGUGGAUACAGUGCAUGGACACUUUUGGUCUUACUGUAAGCCUUUUGUUUCUCUAGCUCAACUGGUAGAGCAUUGCACUAUCAACCCAAAGGUUAUGGGUUCAAAUCCCACACAAACACAAAUAGUAUAUCUUGUAUGCACUGUAAGUCGCUUUGGAUAAAGGCAUCUUCAUCUGUACCAUAAAUGCUCUCAUAGUACAUGGAGGAUGUGAACAUCCUUGUGCAACACUGAUUAAACUCUCUAACUUG